rnacentral:rRNA from 1 species
GAUGAACGCUGGCGGCGUGCCUAAUACAUGCAAGUCGAGCGAAUGGGUUAAGGGCUUGCUCUUAUGAAGUUAGCGGCGGCCGGGUGAGGAACACGUGGGUAACGUGCCCAUCAGCCUGGGAUAACUCCGGGAAACAGGUGCUAACACCGGACAACAUUUUAUACCGCUGGGCUCUAAGAUGGAAGGCGCGUUCGGUUGUCAAUCAUGGAUGGACACGCGUCGCAUUAUCUAGCUGGUGAGGUAACGGCUCACCAAGGCAACGAUGCGUAGCCGACCUGAGAGGGUGAUCGGCCACACUGGGACUGAGACACGGCCCAGACUCCUACGGGAGGCAGCAGUAGGGGAUCUUCCGCAAUGGACGAAAGUCUGACGGAGCAACGCCGCGUGAGUGAUGAAGGCUUUCGGGUCGUAAAACUCUGUUGUUAGGGAAGAACAAGUGCUAGUUGAAUAAGCUGGCACCUUGACGGUACCUAACCAGAAAGCCACGGCUAACUACGUGCCAGCCGCCGCCGUAA